AUGGCCGGCAGACGGGCAGCAAAAAAGGUUCUGGUGCUGCACACCAACAAGAACUUAGACCAGCAUAGGACCAACUGGGUGAUGCAUGAGUACCACCUCGGGGACCUGGAGCAAGAGAAGGAGCAGGAGCUGGUCCUCUGCAAGAUUUUCUACCAGACGAACACUAGGGCCAGAAGUCGAGCAAGUUUCAACUGGGUUGUAGAUUGCCCAUGGUUGUUUUGUUUUUAA
rnacentral:rRNA from 1 species